rnacentral:rRNA from 1 species
UACGUAGGGUGCGAGCGUUAAUCGGAAUUACUGGGCGUAAAGGGUGCGCAGGCGGCCAAGUGUGUCAGGUGUGAAAUCCCGAGGCUUAACCUCGGAACUGCGCCUGAAACUACUUGGCUAGAGUACUGGAGAGGGUAACGGAAUUCACGGUGUAGCAGUGAAAUGCGUAGAUAUCGUGAGGAACACCAGAGGCGAAGGCGGUUACCUGGACAGUUACUGACGCUCAGGCACGAAAGCGUGGGGAGCAAAAGGG